rnacentral:rRNA from 1 species
GAUUAGUGGCGGACGGGUGAGUAACACGUGGGGAACCUGCCCAUGAGAGGGGGAUAACAUUCGGAAACGGAUGCUAAUACCGCAUAUAUUCAAUGACCGCAUGGUCACUGAAAGAAAGACGGCUCUGCUGUCGCUCAUGGAUGGCCCCGCGGCGUAUUAGUUAGUUGGUGAGGUAACGGCUCACCAAGACCAUGAUACGUAGCCGACCUGAGAGGGUGAUCGGCCACACUGGGACUGAGACACGGCCCAGACUCCUACGGGAGGCAGCAGUAGGGAAUCUUCCACAAUGGACGAAAGUCUGAUGGAGCAAUGCCGCGUGAAUGAAGAAGGUCUUCGGAUCGUAAAGUUCUGUUGUUAGAGAAGAACAAAACAAGGAGUAACUGUCUUGUUUUUGACGGUACCUAACCAGAAAGUCACGGCUAACUACGUGCCAGCAGCCGCGGUAAUACGUAGGUGACAAGCGUUGUCCGGAAUUAUUGGGCGUAAAGGGAGCGCAGGCGGUUGGAAUAGUCUGAUGUGAAAGCCCACGGCUUAACCGUGGAAGGUCAUUGGAAACUGUCCAACUUGAAUGCAGAAGAGGAAAGCGGAAUUCCAUGUGUAGCGGUGAAAUGCGUAGAUAUAUGGAGGAACACCAGUGGCGAAGGCGGCUUUCUGGUCUGUGAUUGACGCUGAGGCUCGAAAGCGUGGGGGAGCAAACAGGAUUAGAUACCCUGGUAGUCCACGCCGUAAACGAUGAGUGCUAAGUGUUGGAGGGUUUCCGCCCUUCAGUGCUGGAGUUAACGCAUUAAGCACUCCGCCUGGGGAGUACGACCGCAAGGUUGAAACUCAAAGGAAUUGACGGGGACCC